GGCAAGGGGAAUCCUGCUGAAGAUCCUUGCAUACCUGUGGCCUUGUAAAGUGUUGCUGAACAUUCCCGCUAAUGGCCAGAUCCUCUCCGACCUAAACCUGCUGACUCUUCCAGAUGUUCAGUAAGCAUCCAUGAAUGUCAGUGGGUACAUUUUUUUUCUGCAUGGAGGAAUCCAAUUCAACACCUUUGCUUCAUACAUAUUCUAUGUCAGAUGCCAAUAUGUCACACAGCCCCUCUGCUGCCAUCUGUCAUACAGCAACAAAAUGUAAUGGGAUACUGGGAGGAAGGUUCAAACUCUACUACCAUCCCAAGAACAUCUGCCUCUCAGGUUGUGGGCCAACAGAAAAAAAAAAGAAAAAGAAAAAGAAAAAAAAAGAGAGACAUUACUUUCGGAGCAGC
rnacentral:lncRNA from 1 species